rnacentral:rRNA from 1 species
AGCGAACGCUGGCGGCAGGCUUAACACAUGCAAGUCGAGCGGGCGUAGCAAUACGUCAGCGGCAGACGGGUGAGUAACGCGUGGGAACGUACCUUUUGGUUCGGAACAACCCAGGGAAACUUGGGCUAAUACCGGAUAAGCCCUUACGAGGAAAGAUUUAUCGCCGAAAGAUCGGCCCGCGUCUGAUUAGCUAGUUGGUGUGGUAACGGCGCACCAAGGCGACGAUCAGUAGCUGGUCNGAGAGGAUGAUCAGCCACAUUGGGACUGAGACACGGCCCAAA